rnacentral:rRNA from 1 species
AAUUGGACUCAACGCCGGGAAGCUUACCGGAUAAGACAGCGGAAUGAUUGCCGGGCUGAAGACUCUGCAUGACCAGCUGAGAGGAGGUGCAUGGCCGUCGUCAGUUCGUACUGUGAAGCAUCCUGUUAAGUCAGGCAACGAGCGAGACCCACGCCAACAGUUGCCAGCAUGGUCUCCGGACUGAUGGGGACACUGUUGGGACCGCCUCUGCUAAAGAGGAGGAAGGAAUGGGCAACGGUAGGUCAGCAUGCCCCGAAUUAUCCGGGCUACACGCGGGCUACAAUGGGCAGGACAAUGGGUAUCGACACCGAAAGGUGAAGGCAAUCUCCUAAACCUGUCCUUAGUUCGGAUUGUGGGCUGCAACUCGCCCACAUGAAGCUGGAAUCCGUAGUAAUCGCGUUUCAAAAUAACGCGGUGAAUGUGUCCCUGCUCCUU